rnacentral:lncRNA from 1 species
GCUGGGGGCUGGCUGGCCUGGCCAGGCGACCUAACAGUGGAUGGGAUUAGGUCGGGAACUCCAAGGUUUAGAGGUAGGAUUUUACACAGACUCUUUUCUAGUGCCUUGACUCAGCUUUUAUUGAUUUCACAGAUCCGCCUCCGACUCUUAAGCCCGAGACUCAGCCACCGGAGAAGCGGCGGAGAACAAUUGAGGAUUUCAACAAAUUCUGCAGUUUUGUCUUGGCCUAUGCUGGUUACAUCCCCCCUAGCAAAGGGGAAAGCGAUUGGCCAGCUUCUGGCUCUAGCUCUCCAUUACGAGGUGAGAGUGCAGCAGACAGUGAUGGCUGGGACUCAGCCCCGUCGGACCUUCGAACUAUCCAGACUUUUGUUAAGAAAGCAAAAUCAUCAAAGAGAAGGGCAGCUCAAGCAGGUCCUACCCAGCCAGGACCCCCAAGGUCCACUUUUUCUCGUCUGCAGGCCCCUGAUAGUGCUACUCUGCUUGAGAAGAUGAAGCUCAAGGACUCUCUGUUUGAUCUGGAUGGGCCCAAAGUGGCAUCUCCACUGUCUCCCACAUCGUUGACCUCCCGGCCUCCUGCUGCUCUCACCCCAGUGCCACUGUCCCAGGGGGACCUCUCCCAGCCUCGAAAGAAGGACCGAAAGAAUAGAAAGUUGGGACCAGGAGGUGGGGCUGGCUUUGGGGUGCUUCGGAGACCUCGGCCAGCUCCUGGGGAUGGGG